rnacentral:rRNA from 1 species
AGAGUUUGUCCUGGCUCAGAUUGAACGCUGGCGGUAUGCUUAACACAUGCAAGUCGAACGGUAACAGCAGGAGCUUGCUCCUGGCUGACGAGUGGCGGACGGGUGCGUAACGCGUAGGAAUCUGCCUAUUAGUGGGGGACAACAUGUGGAAACGCAUGCUAAUACCGCAUACGCCCUACGGGGGAAAGCGGGGGAUCUUCGGACCUCGCGCUAAUAGAUGAGCCUGCGUUAGAUUAGCUAGUUGGUGAGGUAAAGGCUCACCAAGGCGACGAUCUAUAGCUGGUCUGAGAGGACGAUCAGCCACACUGGGACUGAGACACGGCCCAGACUCCUACGGGAGGCAGCAGUGGGGAAUAUUGGACAAUGGGCGAAAGCCUGAUCCAGCAAUACCGCGUGUGUGAAGAAGGCCUGAGGGUUGUAAAGCACUUUCAAUUGGGAGGAAAACGGGCGAAAUUAAUAUGUCGUCCCUUGACAUUACCUUUAGAAGAAGCACCGGCUAACUCCGUGCCAGCGGCCGUGGUAAUACGGAGGGUGCAAGCGUUAAUCGGAAUUACUGGGCGUAAAGCGUUCGUAGGCGGUUUGUUAAGUUAGAUGUGAAAGCCCCGGGCUCAACCUGGGAACUGCAUUUAAAACUGGCAAACUAGAGUUUAGGAGAGGGAAGUGGAAUUUCAGGUGUAGCAGUGAAAUGCGUAGAGAUCUGAAGGAACACCAGUGGCGAAGGCGACUUCCUGGACUAAAACUGACGCUGAGGAACGAAAGCGUGGGUAGCAAACGGGAUUAGAUACCCCCGGUAGUCCACGCCGUAAACGAUGUCAACUAGCCGUUGGGCCUAUAUACAGGUUUAGUGGCGGAGCUAACGU